ACUGGUCUGCAGGACUGGUGACAUGCUCCUCACAUCUGGCCAGGGUCAGCCCGUGUGUGCUCAUCUUACACACGUGGUCUCCAGCUCACCUCCAGCAUGAGCACUUGUGACCACACACUGAGAAUAACAGGUGACUCCAAGCUUGGAGCAGUUGUGAGCUCACAGCUGUCAGCUUGGGUCCAGAGGCCAACACACCGAGUAGCUUGGUGUUGCAGUGGCCUGGCUGUGCGGCCCGUGGAAGCAGACAACGGCAGUCAGGACUGCAGGGCCCUACCACGUCCCUACAGCCCUUCCCCAACACAGGAGGUGCAAGCUCAGCAUUACCCAAGAACAUGGGGCUGGGGCCAAGCGGUGGAGGCUUCAGUCUAAGUUCUGCAACGAAGAAUCAGCUUGGUUUUGGGUGAGCCAUGUGGGGCAUAAGGUUCUUCAGCAAAAUGAGGGACUGAACCAUAGAACCUUAAGUUGGAUUUGUGAAGAAAAUUACUUUGAGAACAAAAAAGGGAACAGUUUCCAAAUCACGAAAUGAUCUUACUAAUCUAUCAUAGCUCUUAAAAUGUAGUUCGCCUCAUUAAUGGAAUAAUACAAAAGGAAAAUGUAGUUUGCCUCAUUAACUUGGAAUAAUAUGACAGGACACUGAUUUCUGCCCAUUUGUAUGCAGACUUCAUUAGAAAAUAGUCAAAAUUUAGUUUCUAUAAAAAUUGUAAGUACCACUGUACCACACUGCAUUAGACUAACAGGUCAUCUUUAGUGCUCAAAAUAAACUUGUCCUGCAGGACCUCAUGGCCUCUGAAAUGAAAGAGGAGUUUGGCCUGACAACCGCCACGCCUACUGCCACCUAAGCAGCAGCGUCCAGCAUCUGCAGGUCUCUCAGCCGCUUGUCAUGGCUUCGCUGACAACCUCAGUCUGGAGAGGAGAGGGAACCCUGCAGGACUGUGUAUGCAGUGCAGACUUUUUUUUUUUUUUUUUUGUAAAGACAGGGUCUCGCUAUGUUUCUCAGGCCAGUGUCAAACUCCUGGCCUUAAGUGAUUCUCCCACCUCAGCCUGCCAAAGUGCUCAGAUUACAGGUGUGUGCCCAGCCACGGCGCAAACUUCUGAGGACCUACUGCCAACCAGCUAUCCUAAGAUGCUGCAGAGGGUUCCUGCAUUUAGCGAGGAUGCUGCAUGAGAUACUCUCUACCUCCUGGCUGACACUGGCCCCAUGGAAAGUGAUACCGAUAUCUAGCGAGUGUCCACAUGAGUCCGUAAAUGAGGUAAGUGAAACUGAAUCCGUCAUUGUCUGGCUUAUCUAUGUAGCUCAAAUUAACCAAGAGUUAUUUUAAAUAAAACUAAAAUAAAUUAGGAAAAAAGUAACAGAUAUUUUAGCUCCUUUAGAAGUUAAGGCUUCACUUACUAAAAUAGAAGAACCUUGCUCACCACUGUAAGAAACGUAUCAUGAACUGAGAUUAUCCGAGAGUUAAUCUAGGUUUAAUCAAAAUGAUUUUUGUUGCACAGCACUACUAUACCCUAAAAUAGUGCUGUGCGACACUUUUUAUUCUACAAAAUUAUCCAAAACAACACUCGUUUUUAAAAAGAGCAACCAUUACACACGUACACAGGGCUGAGCAGAUGCUAACAGGACGUGUUAGUGAGAAGUGUAUUUCCUACAGAAGCCUGAAGGUGACUGCCAUGAACAGGUACUGAAUUUAAUCAAGUAUUUUUUUAGCAUCCAUUAUAUCCUUUUUCUUAUUCAUUGUUAUUUACAAUGGUUUUCAAAUGUUAAAUCAAUAUUGCAUUCCAAAAAUAAACCCAACUUGGUCAUCAUGUAUUAUUGGUUUUACAUAUUGCUGGAUUUGAUUUGUUAGUAUUUUGUUUGGAAGCUUUAUUUUCAUGAAACAGAAUGGCCUAAAUUUCUAUUUCUUGUGAUGUCUUUGUUAGAUUUUUGCAUCAGGAUUUUGCUGGACUUAGAGAAACAGUUGGAAAGCCUUCCUUCUUCUUCUGCUCUCUGGAAGAAAGGGCGUAGCACAGCUGCUGGUUCCUCCUUCGGUGUCUGGAAAAACUCACAGGGAAGCCCUCUGAUCCUGAGGUUUCCUUGUGGGCAGAGUUUUCAUUUCAGAUUCAAUGUCUUCAGUAGACAUGGAACCAUUCAAGGUUUCUAGUUUUCUAUUUCUUCAUACUUCAGUCUUAUUAGGUUGUAUUUUUCAAGGAAUGUGUUCAUUUUACCUGAAAUUUUCAUGGCACGCAUUUUACUUGAAGUUUCAAAUGUAUUGGUAUAAAUAUUCCCUCAUCUCUUUAGUCUGCAUUAUCUAUGUAUACAGAUGUCCCUUUUUCAUGCUGUAUACUGGCAAUUUGUGCUUUCUGCUUUUCUUCAUCAAUUUAGUAACAGGUUUAUCAGUUUUAUUCAUCUUUUCAAAUUAACUUAAAAAAAAGGACUUUAUGUUUUUAGAACAGUUUUAGGUUCACAGCAAAAUUGAGAGGAAGGUACAGAGAUUUCCCACAUACCCUCUGCUUCUCUACAGAUCAGUGCCUCCACCCGCCAAUCCCUGGAGGACACAUUUGUUACAAUCGGCAAACCCACACUGACAUGUCCCUCAAGUCCACAGUUGACACGAGGGUUCACUCUUGGUGGUGUACAUUCUGCGAGUUUGGACAAAUGUGUAAUGACCUGGAGCCACCAUGAGAGCAUCAUCUGGAGCAGGCACACUGCCCUAAAGCCCUCCCGCCUGCCUGCUCAGCCUCCCUCCCCUGAGCCCCUGGCAAUCACUCAUCUUUCUACUGUUUCCAUAGUUCUCCCUUUUCCAGUCUUCCUAUAGCUGGAAUCAGACAGUAGGCAGCUUUUUCAGAUUGGCUUCUGUCACUUAGUAACAUGCAUUUA
rnacentral:lncRNA from 1 species